rnacentral:tRNA from 1 species
CUAUUUAUGCAGGCUGGGCUUGCAGGUAAUACUUGCAGAUUAAUGAUAUUAUUAUUAAUAUAUUGGGAAUU